rnacentral:lncRNA from 1 species
CAAAUCCAUGCUUGGAAUAAUACUGGAGAUUACAGAGCAAAGUCUCGUCUACGUCGAACACAAAUACGUCUUUGUCAGUGAUAUUAAGAGUUUUGGCGUAAAAAUAAGCUUCACGACAAACAGUUUUGGAGUCUGAUCUAUAUUGGUUGCCUAGAACAUAGUCCGCUACGAACUCUUGGCAUGCUUCUGGGACAGUUUUCCAUUUGAUGAGGUUGUUUGCUUCCACGCCGAGCCUCCAACUUGCGCAUAAAACCGCCGUGGAGUACUGCCCAACAUGGCCAGUUUUCAGUCGGAGAGGGUACAUUUGGUAGUCUGAGGCAUGGCAUGCUACCAAAACUGUAGCAACGAACAGAACAAGCACCUUCAUUUUUUUUUUUCACACUCUUUCAACUUUCAAUAGAGAUUUUGGCUUCUUCUACAUGGAGGAUUUUGUUCUUUAAAUAGAAAAGCUGUAAGAUAUGAAACUGUAAGC